rnacentral:rRNA from 1 species
UACGAAGGGGGCUAGCGUUGCUCGGAAUCACUGGGCGUAAAGCGCACGUAGGCGGAUCUUUAAGUCAGGGGUGAAAUCCCAAGGCUCAACCUUGGAACUGCCUUUAAUACUGGGGAUCUCGAGUCCGGAAGAGGUUGGUGGAACUGCGAGUGUAGAGGUGAAAUUCGUAGAUAUUCGCAAGAACACCAGUGGCGAAGGCGGCCAACUGGUCCGGUACUGACGCUGAGGUGCGAAAGCGUGGGGAGCAAACAGG